UUAGCUAGUUGGGAGGUAACGGCUCACCAAGGCAACGAUGCGUAGCCGACCUGAGAGGUGAUCGGCCACACUGGGACUGAGACACGGCCCAGAUUCCUACGGGAGGCAGCAGUAGGGAAUCUUCCGCAAUGGACGAAAGUCUGACGGAGCAACGCCGCGUGAGUGAUGAAGGUUUUCGGAUCGUAAAGCUCUGUUGUUAGGGAAGAACAAGUGCCGUUCAAAUAGGGCGGCACCUUGACGGUACCUAACCAGAAAGCCACGGCUAACUACGUGCCAGCAGCCGCGGUAAUACGUAGGUGGCAAGCGUUGUCCGGAAUUAUUGGGCGUAAAGGGCUCGCAGGCGGUUUCUUAAGUCUGAUGUGAAAGCCCCCGGCUCAACCGGGGAGGGUCAUUGGAAACUGGGGAACUUGAGUGCAGAAGAGGAGAGUGGAAUUCCACGUGUAGCGGUGAAAUGCGUAGAGAUGUGGAGGAACACCAGUGGCGAAGGCGACUCUCUGGUCUGUAACUGACGCUGAGGAGCGAAAGCGUGGGGAGCGAACAGGAUUAGAUACCCUGGUAGUCCACGCCGUAAACGAUGAGUGCUAAGUGUUAGGGGGUUUCCGCCCCUUAGUGCUGCAGCUAACGCAUUAAGCACUCCGCCUGGGGAGUACGGUCGCAAGACUGAAACUCAAAGGAAUUGACGGGGGCCCGCACAAGCGGUGGAGCAUGUGGUUUAAUUCGAAGCAACGCGAAGAACCUUACCAGGUCUUGACAUCCUCUGACAAUCCUAGAGAUAGGACGUCCCCUUCGGGGGCAGAGUGACAGGUGGUGCAUGGUUGUCGUCAGCUCGUGUCGUGAGAUGUUGGGUUAAGUCCCGCAACGAGCGCAACCCUUGAUCUUAGUUGCCAGCAUUCAGUUGGGCACUCUAAGGUGACUGCCGGUGACAAACCGGAGGAAGGUGGGGAUGACGUCAAAUCAUCAUGCCCCUUAUGACCUGGGCUACACACGUGCUACAAUGGACAGAACAAAGGGCAGCGAAACCGCGAGGUUAAGCCAAUCCCACAAAUCUGUUCUCAGUUCGGAUCGCAGUCUGCAACUCGACUGCGUGAAGCUGGAAUCGCUAGUAAUCGCGGAUCAGCAUGCCGCGGUGAAUACGUUCCCGGGCCUUGUACACACCGCCCGUCACACCACGAGAGUUUGUAACACCCGAAGUCGGUGAGGUAACCUUUAUGGAGCCAGCCGCCGAAG
rnacentral:rRNA from 1 species